UUUGAACACCUACCCACCAGGCACUGUGCCAAGUACUUUGUUUCUAAUUGUUACAAUUUCUCCAGAAGGUAUUAUUAGCUCCAUGUUACAAAAGUGAAAAUGAGCCCCAGAGAGGCUAAAUAACUUUCUUAAGGCUCACAGCUAGGAAAAGGCUUCCCUUCUCAGCUCCAAAAUCCAUUAAUGACUGCUCAUUACCUAGAGUGGCUGUUUGUAUCCCUAUUUCAAAGAACACGGUGGUGGUGGGGGGGUGCCACAGAGGGACUUCAGGAGCCACCUCAAGGGCAAGAUCAUGUGGCAGGUUCCAGGGUUCCUCCCCGCAGAGCACAUUUUGAUGAAGCUUCUCUGAUUUCCUCUAUUUUCGAUACCAGUCAUCCAAGAUGCAUAGAUCCUUGAAUUGGUGCUAUGCUCUCCCCACUGUAUCCUAUUAGCUGCACCAUAGCAGUGUAAUUUCCCUGACCCAGCCCUAGAAAUCAGUCACUUCUCCAAGGAUCCUGAGUCCUUCUUCAUGAUGUAUUAAUAUGCUUGAUAUGGUGACUCAGCAGCUGGUAGGAAGUUGACGCUCUCAGAGGUUAUCAGUGGAUACUUCCACCAUCACUCAGCAGUGAUAAAGGGAAUUUAUACUCUGAGAUCUUUUGAGAGAAAGAUAUUUGCAUUGUUUGGCCUAUCAUAGAAAUUUAUCAAGAAUGCGUUGACCAAGUGGAGACUUAGUUUGUUCUUGACUUUGUUCUCCAUCACAAGAAGAACAACUAACAACUAUUCAAGAUUAAGAUGCCACUGAAAGAAUCCUAGAACAUGGUGAUGAGGCUCAAGCCCUCCUUGAACCACAGAGACCAAGACAGACUGCAUUAGAAAGGACUGCUGCUUUCCUGUCCGCCAUGUGACUUACAAGAUUAGAGGCAAGAUUACAUGCCUUCCUUAAAGUCCCUUCCAUCAGGAUUCUAUGAAUUUUGCUCAUGCUGGGAACAUUCUAAUGAAUCUUCCACAUUGAAGACAAGAUGGAAAAUACUCUCAGAGACUGAAUCUUUCUAGAAAACUUCAUCAGUGUUGAGAUUAACACUACAGGAAAUCUUGUAACAGACCUAUAAAGGCCACAUCUUGUCUUUUAAGAGGGAUAACAGGCUUUGACCUGAUGGCACAGGAUGAAGAUAAUUUAUUUUACUUUUAUAUACAUAAAAUUGCUUAUUUAUAUGAACAAUUGCCUUUGAUCUAUUACAACAGCUUAUGCCUUCCUGAAUUCAACCCUAGGACAUCCUCUUUCCCAAAGAUUCUGAAGAGGGGGGAAUUCCCACAAGGGCACACCUUUGCACUGGGCAGCCUGCAUGCCUUGCCUCAGGAACAGAAGGGACAGCCCCCUCUUUGUCCAAAAUGCUUAUUCAGGAGUAACUGGAUAUUAAACAGUUAGAUGGAAAAUGUGUUGCAGAGUUUCCAA